UACGAGUGCCUCAAGCGUUAUCCGGAAUUAUUGGGCGUAAAGGGCGUGUAGGCGGCCCGAUAAGUCCGCUGUGAAAGUCCAGGGCUCAACCCUGGGAUGCCGGUGGAUACUGUCGGGCUUGAGUACGGAAGAGGCGAGUGGAAUUCCUGGUGUAGCGGUGAAAUGCGCAGAUAUCAGGAGGAACACCAAUUGCGAAGGCAGCUCGCUGGAACGUAACUGACGCUGAGACGCGAAAGCGUGGGGAGCAAACAGG
rnacentral:rRNA from 1 species